rnacentral:rRNA from 1 species
GGCUCAGAAUUAACGCUGGCGGCAUGCGUAACACAUGCAAGUCGUACGAUAAAGCCCGGUUCGCCGGGCGAGUAAAGUGGCGCACGGGUGAGUAACGCGUGGGUAAUCUACCCCGGUCUGGGGGAUAACGCACCGAAAGGUGCGCUAAUACCGCAUGACCCGGCAGGUUUUCGGAACUGUCGGAAAAGGUGGCCUCUACAUGUAAGCUACCGAACCGGGAUGAGCCCGCGUCCUAUUAGCUUGUUGGUGGGGUAAUGGCCUACCAAGGCGACGAUGGGUAGCUGGUCUGAGAGGACGGCCAGCCACACUGGAACUGGUACACGGUCCAGACUCCUACGGGAGGCAGCAGUGAGGAAUAUUGCGCAAUGGGGGAAACCCUGACGCAGCGAUGCCGCGUGAGUGAAGAAGGCCUUCGGGUCGUAAAGCUCUGUCAAACGGGAAGAACAGCUCUGGAGCUAAUAUCUUCAGGGUGUGACGGUACCGUUGAAGGAAGCACCGGCUAACUCCGUGCCAGCAGCCGCGGUAAGACGGAGGGUGCAAGCGUUAUUCGGAUUCAUUGGGCGUAAAGGGUGUGUAGGCGGUCGGCCAAGUCUGAUGUGAAAGCCCGGGGCUUAACCUCGGAAGGGCGUUGGAAACUGGUCGACUUGAGUUCGGGAGAGGAAAGCGGAAUUCCGGGUGUAGAGGUGAAAUUCGUAGAUAUCCGGAGGAACACCGGUGGCGAAGGCGGCUUUCUGGACCGAAACUGACGCUGAGACACGAAAGCGUGGGGAGCAAACAGGAUUAGAUACCCUGGUAGUCCACGCGGUAAACGAUGGGCGCUAGGUGUGGGGGGUUUUUAAUCCCUCCGUGCCGCAGCUAACGCAUUAAGCGCCCCG